ensembl:antisense Gm9888 predicted gene 9888
GGAUUCUGACAGUGGAGAUCCCAGUCAGAGUUGCGGGGCAGAGCAGGAGCCAGCCAGGGCCAAGCAGGCAGCCUCACUCCCAGGACUUGGUCAUCUUUCUACGGGGUUUUAACUGGAGCAUGCAGAGAGGCGGCGGGCCCAUGACGUCAUGGUUAAAAUCCACACUCACUGAUUUUGGACAAGCUCUGUAUCACUGUCAUCCAAAGCACACACAGAGAUUCGAAAGUCAAGCCGAGCCCUCUUGUCGCCGAGCUCUACCCUCUCGGGCGGGAGCCCGUGCGCGGCCUGGAGAUGGCAGGGGAUAGCAGGAGACUCUCCCUCCCCCAGCCCGGGUGCGAGACGUGCGGCCUGGAGAAGAGGAAGGAAGACGAGGAGGAACUCGCACCCCGGGUUUCGGGCGCCGUGGGUGAGCGGGUACACCCGGUCCAGCAGUCCCUCCGAGGGCUGGCCUGGCCCCAGCGCGCCGCCGCUGCUGCACGUGGUCCGGACGAGCCCCGAUCCAUGAGACAUCGCGCGACCCAGCCCGGGCUGGCCGCCUCCGAGGCCCGGGGACCUCUGGCCGGUGAAGCUGGGACGGGACGGGGCGGAGCCUCAGGGGCGGGGCGCACGGCUCCCUCUUCCCAGCUGCGGCCGGACCCGGAGAGGACUCGGGAGCAGAUGCCCCGCAAGCCCCUGCCCUCUAGACACGCGGAAGUUGGACUGGCGUGGGCAGGAAACCGGACGCCUGGGGCCCUGGCCUCUCCCAGGAGCGCACCGCCCAGGUCACAGCUGGUGAUGAGCCUCCAGGGAUUUUUUGUGUGGGUGCGGCUGCUACUAGGUACUGACAUGAGUAGGGGGAAAUGCCCUGAGCAUACCGUGCUGCGCUGUUCAUUUCUGCUUCUGUGUGUGUGCACGGGGCACGCACCUGUGCCACCAUCACCUACAGCAAUAAAAACAGGUCCAUCGCCUCAGGACCUUCCUCCCCC